CCUACGGGCGGCAGCAGUGAGGAAUAUUGGUCAAUGGCCGGAAGGCUGAACCAGCCAUGUCGCGUGAAGGUCAGUGCCCUAUGGGCGUUAAACUUCUUUUGUGCGGGAGCAAUAAUGGUCACGUGUGGCCAGACGAGAGUACCGUACGAAUAAGCAUCGGCUAACUCCGUGCCAGCAGCCGCGGUAAUAGGGGGGAUGCAAGCGUUAUCCGGUUUUAUUGGGUUAAAGGGGGCGUAAGCUGUGAGGUAAGUCAGCGGUGAAAUGCCCCCGCUCAACGGGGUGAAGUGCCAUUGAUAAUGCCUUGCUGGAAUGCGGAUGCCGUGGGAGGAAUGUGUGGUGUAGCGGUGAAAUGCAUAGAUAUCACACAGAACACCGAUUGCGAAGGCAUCUCACGAAUCCGCGAUUGACGCUGAUGCACGAAAGCGUGGGGAGCAAACAGGAUUAGAUACCCCAGUAGUC
rnacentral:rRNA from 1 species